CUAGCAUUGAGUAGAUCAAAUUUCCCCGUAGUGUUUAAAAUCAAUGGUAUAAAAAUACCAUAUUGUAUUGUAUUGUAUACAUAUUGUAUUCAAUAUUCAUUUAUUUUGCUACAAUUUGACAUAUAUAUUAAAUAUGAUUUAAUAUGAAAAAGCAAUACUAUUAACGAAGCAGUACUCAGAAUCAUUUUUCGUUAGCUGAAGAAAAUGAUCCCUAUGAUGCUAUUGACGAAAUCAAACAGAGGCAAAUAGCAAGAAUACUGGAGAGUAUUCCUCAUGUAGCUGUUAACCAAAGUAAUAUUGUACCAUGAACAAUAACUGUGAUUCAUGUUUUGUUAUUAAUAAAACUAACGGAUAUACCUAUUUCUUGUGGACAUAAAUGUUUGUGUUCUGAUUGAAGAGCAAAUAUUUUGAAGCCCAAUAUGCAACUGUCAGAAUACAAACAAUGUGUAUAUUUGAUUGACUAUCACUUCUUCAUUACUAAAAUAAUAUUGUUACUCAUA